CCCUGCAGUACCUUCCUUUACCC
rnacentral:miRNA from 1 species